UACGAAGGGGGCUAGCGUUGCUCGGAAUUACUGGGCGUAAAGGGCGCGUAGGCGGGUCGUUAAGUUGGGGGUGAAAGCCCAGGGCUCAACCCUGGAAUUGCCUUCAAUACUGGCGACCUUGAGUAUGGCAGAGGUGUGUGGAACUCCGAGUGUAGAGGUGAAAUUCGUAGAUAUUCGGAAGAACACCAGUGGCGAAGGCGGCUCACUGGACCGGUAUUGACGCUGAGGUGCGAAAGCGUGGGGAGCAAACAGG
rnacentral:rRNA from 1 species